AUUGAACGCUGGCGGCAUGCCUUACACAUGCAAGUCGAACGGUAACAGGUUAAGCUGACGAGUGGCGAACGGGUGAGUAAUGUAUCGGAACGUGCCCAGUCGUGGGGGAUAACUGCUCGAAAGAGCAGCUAAUACCGCAUACGACCUGAGGGUGAAAGCGGGGGCUCGCAAGACCUCGCGCGAUUGGAGCGGCCGAUAUCGGAUUAGGGAGUUGGUGAGGUAAAGGCUCACCAAGCCGACGAUCUGUAGCUGGUCUGAGAGGACGACCAGCCACACUGGGACUGAGACACGGCCCAGACUCCUACGGGAGGCAGCAGUGGGGAAUUUUGGACAAUGGGCGCAAGCCUGAUCCAGCCAUGCCGCGUGCGGGAAGAAGGCCUUCGGGUUGUAAACCGCUUUUGUCAGGGAAGAAAAGGUUCUGGCUAAUACCUGGGACUCAUGACGGUACCUGAAGAAUAAGCACCGGCUAACUACGUG
rnacentral:rRNA from 1 species